rnacentral:rRNA from 1 species
UACGUAGGUGGCAAGCGUUGUCCGGAUUUACUGGGCGUAAAGAGCGUGUAGGCGGCCAGGUAGGUCUGCUGUGAAAACGUCGAGGCGUCAACCUCGAGACGUCGGCGGAAACCAUCUGGCUAGAGUCCGGAAGAGGAGAGUGGAAUUCCUGGUGUAGAGGUGAAAUUCGUAGAUAUUCGCAAGAACGACCAGUGGCGAAGGCGGCUCACUGGCCCGAUACUGACGGACUGAGGCACGGAAAGCGUGGGGAGCAACAGG